AUGAGAAAAACUGAGGUCAGAAAAACUGAUAGACCAUUUUAGAGGUGCAAGUAUCCUGAUGUUCAGUGAGGAAGACUUGGGCACACAGGAAAGUCUUUAUACAGUGGAACAUCAGAGGUUAUGCAGUUGUUGACAAUGCACAGUUUGGUGGUGUGGAUGACCCCAGAGUUUCAGAUAGUAAAUGAAAACCUGUACAGCAAUUGCCAAGAUAUACUCCAAAGGAGAGAGAGUCCCUUGUGGAAUGGAAUUUUCAGCAAGUUGAAUAUUGUGAGAAUAACAGUGAAAAGGAGAAGAUUCCAGGUUCCAGUUAUGGGUGCCCAUGGAAUAGUAAGAGCACAGCUACACACUCAGGCACUAUGGAGAGAUCAGAAGUUCAGAAGUUGCAACAGAGUUACGAAUAAUACAUUCCCUUACCAUUUCAUUUCCCUGUUCCUGUCUAUGGGAAUAUUCACGGAGCCUUCAUUAUGUAGGAACACUGAGCAUAGGCCAGGCAUUCCAGAUGGCAUAGCUACAAGCUGCAGAGAGCCACCCGAUCCACACCAGACUGCAAUGUUUACCUGAUGGGAAAGAAGCCUUCUUGGGAGGAGAGAAAUUAGUGUGCAUUUCUUUCAAAAGCAAGGCUAUGAAUGAAGGGGUGAUUUUGGUAAGCCUUCUUCAAUUUUCUACAAAUAUCAUGCUAGUGCCAUAUUUAUUCCAUUGUUAUUCGUACUGGGCACUCUAAGGCCUAGAGUUUAGGAAUGAAAUAAAGAUACAACAGAUCUAGGAAGUCUUUUAAAA
rnacentral:lncRNA from 1 species